rnacentral:rRNA from 1 species
CCUACGGGUGGCAGCAGUGGGGGAUAUUGCACAAUGGGGGGAACCCUGAUGCAGCGACGCCGCGUGGGUGAAGGAGCGCUUCGGCGCGUAAAGCCCUAUCGGCAGGGAAGAAGAUGACGGUACCUGACCAAGAAGCCCCGGCCAACGUCGUGCCAGCAGCCGCGGUAAUACGGAGGGGGCAAGCGUUAGCCGGAAUGACUGGGGGUAAAGGGGGCGCAGACGGCAUGGCAAGCCAGGGGUGAAAGCCCGGGGCCCAACCCCGGGACUGCUCUUGGAACUGCAUGGCUGGAGUACAGGAGGGGCUGGCGGAAUUCCUGGUGUAGCGGUGAAAUGCGUAGAUAUUAGGAGGACCACCGGUGGCGAAGGCGACCUGCUGGACUGUGACUGACGUUGAGGCCCGAACGCGUGGGGAGCAAACAGGAUUAGAUACCCCUGUAGUC